GAAGCGGCAACAGCUCAAAUUUGAAAUCUGGCGUAAGCCCGAGUUGUAAUUUGCAGAGGAUGCUUCUGGGCAGCGGCCGGUCUAAGUUCCUUGGAACAGGACGUCAUAGAGGGUGAGAAUCCCGUAUGUGACCGGCUGGCACCCUCCACGUAGCUCCUUCGACGAGUCGAGUUGUUUGGGAAUGCAGCUCUAAAUGGGAGGUAAAUUCCUUCUAAAGCUAAAUACCGGCCAGAGACCGAUAGCGCACAAGUAGAGUGAUCGAAAGAUGAAAAGCACUUUGGAAAGAGAGUUAAAAAGCACGUGAAAUUGUUGAAAGGGAAGCGCUUGCGACCAGACUUGUCGGCGGUGUUCCGCCGGUCUUCUGACCGGUUCACUCGCCGUCGGCAGGCCAGCAUCAUCUGGGGCCGCCGGAUAAAGGCUUAGGGAAUGUAGCUCCCCUCGGGGAGUGUUAUAGCCCUUUGCACAAUACGGCGCGCCCCGGGUGAGGUCCGCGUCUCGGCAAGGAUGCUGGCGUAAUGGUCGUAAGCGGCCCGUCUUGAAACACGGACCAAGGAGUCGAUUAUCUAUGCGAGUGUUCGGGCGUCAAACCCCUACGCGUAAUGAAAGUGAACGGAGGUGGGAACCUUUACCGGUGCACCAUCGACCGAUCCGGAUGUCUUCGGAUGGAUUUGAGUAAGAGCAUAGCUAAUCGGACCCGAAAGAUGGUGAACUAUGCCUGAAUAGGGUGAAGCCAGAGGAAACUCUGGUGGA
rnacentral:rRNA from 1 species